rnacentral:rRNA from 1 species
GGGUUGUGAGGUUAAGCGACUAAGCGUACACGGUGGAUGCCCUGGCAGUCAGAGGCGAUGAAGGACGUGCUAAUCUGCGAUAAGCGUCGGUGAGGUGAUAUGAACCGUUAUAACCGGCGAUUUCCGAAUGGGGAAACCCAGUGUGUUUCGACACACUAUCAUUAACUGAAUCCAUAGGUUAAUGAGGCGAACCGGGGGAACUGGAAACAUCUAAGUACCCCGAGGAAAAGAAAUCAACCGAGAUUCCCCCAGUAGCGGCGAGCGAACGGGGAGGAGCCCAGAGCCUGAAUCAGUGUGUGUGUUAGUGGAAGCGUCUGGAAAGGCGCGCGAUACAGGGUGACAGCCCCGUACACAAAAAUGCACAUACUGUGAGCUCGAUGAGUAGGGCGGGACACGUGGUAUCCUGUCUGAAUAUGGGGGGACCAUCCUCCAAGGCUAAAUACUCCUGACUGACCGAUAGUGAACCAGUACCGUGAGGGAAAGGCGAAAAGAACCCCGGCGAGGGGAGUGAAAAAGAACCUGAAACCGUGUACGUACAAGCAGUGGGAGCCUCUUAAUGGGGUGACUGCGUACCUUUUGUAUAAUGGGUCAGCGACUUAUAUUCUGUAGCAAGGUUAACCGAAUAGGGGAGCCGAAGGGAAACCGAGUCUUAACUGGGCGCUAAGUUGCAGGGUAUAGACCCGAAACCCGGUGAUCUAGCCAUGGGCAGGUUGAAGGUUGGGUAACACUAACUGGAGGACCGAACCGACUAAUGUUGAAAAAUUAGCGGAUGACUUGUGGCUGGGGGUGAAAGGCCAAUCAAACCGGGAGAUAGCUGGUUCUCCCCGAAAGCUAUUUAGGUAGCGCCUCGUGAAUUCAUCUCCGGGGGUAGAGCACUGUUUCGGCAAGGGGGUCAUCCCGACUUACCAACCCGAUGCAAACUGCGAAUACCGGAGAAUGUUAUCACGGGAGACACACGGCGGGUGCUAACGUCCGUCGUGAAGAGGGAAACAACCCAGACCGCCAGCUAAGGUCCCAAAGUCAUGGUUAAGUGGGAAACGAUGUGGGAAGGCCCAGACAGCCAGGAUGUUGGCUUAGAAGCAGCCAUCAUUUAAAGAAAGCGUAAUAGCUCACUGGUCGAGUCGGCCUGCGCGGAAGAUGUAACGGGGCUAAACCAUGCACCGAAGCUGCGGCAGCGACACUAUGUGUUGUUGGGUAGGGGAGCGUUCUGUAAGCCUGUGAAGGUGGCCUGUGAGGGUUGCUGGAGGUAUCAGAAGUGCGAAUGCUGACAUAAGUAACGAUAAAGCGGGUGAAAAGCCCGCUCGCCGGAAGACCAAGGGUUCCUGUCCAACGUUAAUCGGGGCAGGGUGAGUCGACCCCUAAGGCGAGGCCGAAAGGCGUAGUCGAUGGGAAACAGGUUAAUAUUCCUGUACUUGGUGUUACUGCGAAGGGGGGACGGAGAAGGCUAUGUUGGCCGGGCGACGGUUGUCCCGGUUUAAGCGUGUAGGCUGGUUUUCCGAGGCAAAUCCGGAAAACCAAGGCUGAGGCGUGAUGACGAGGCACUACGGUGCUGAAGCGACAAAUGCCCUGCUUCCGGAAAAGCCUCUAAGCAUCAGGUAACAUCAAAUCGUACCCCAAACCGACACAGGUGGUCAGGUAGAGAAUACCAAGGCGCUUGAGAGAACUCGGGUGAAGGAACUAGGCAAAAUGGUGCCGUAACUUCGGGAGAAGGCACGCUGAUAUGUAGGUGAAGCGACUUGCUCGUGGAGCUGAAAUCAGUCGAAGAUACCAGCUGGCUGCAACUGUUUAUUAAAAACACAGCACUGUGCAAACACGAAAGUGGACGUAUACGGUGUGACGCCUGCCCGGUGCCGGAAGGUUAAUUGAUGGGGUUAGCGGCAACGCGAAGCUCUUGAUCGAAGCCCCGGUAAACGGCGGCCGUAACUAUAACGGUCCUAAGGUAGCGAAAUUCCUUGUCGGGUAAGUUCCGACCUGCACGAAUGGCGUAAUGAUGGCCAGGCUGUCUCCACCCGAGACUCAGUGAAAUUGAACUCGCUGUGAAGAUGCAGUGUACCCGCGGCAAGACGGAAAGACCCCGUGAACCUUUACUAUAGCUUGACACUGAACAUUGAGCCUUGAUGUGUAGGAUAGGUGGGAGGCUUUGAAGUGUGGACGCCAGUCUGCAUGGAGCCGACCUUGAAAUACCACCCUUUAAUGUUUGAUGUUCUAACGUUGGCCCGUAAUCCGGGUUGCGGACAGUGUCUGGUGGGUAGUUUGACUGGGGCGGUCUCCUCCUAAAGAGUAACGGAGGAGCACGAAGGUUGGCUAAUCCUGGUCGGACAUCAGGAGGUUAGUGCAAUGGCAUAAGCCAGCUUGACUGCGAGCGUGACGGCGCGAGCAGGUGCGAAAGCAGGUCAUAGUGAUCCGGUGGUUCUGAAUGGAAGGGCCAUCGCUCAACGGAUAAAAGGUACUCCGGGGAUAACAGGCUGAUACCGCCCAAGAGUUCAUAUCGACGGCGGUGUUUGGCACCUCGAUGUCGGCUCAUCACAUCCCCGGGGCUGAAGUAGGUCCCAAGGGUAUGGCUGUUCGCCAUUUAAAGUGGUACGCGAGCUGGGUUUAGAACGUCGUGAGACAGUUCGGUCCCCUAUCUGCCGUGGGCGCUGGAGAACUGAGGGGGGCUGCUCCUAGUACGAGAGGACCGGAGUGGACGCAUCACUGGUGUUCGGGUUGUCAUGCCAAUGGCACUGCCCGGUAGCUAAAUGCGGAAGAGAUAAGUGCUGAAAGCAUCUAAGCACGAAACUUGCCCCGAGAUGAGUUCUCCCUGACUCCUUGAGGGUCCUGAAGGAACGUUGAAGACGACGACGUUGAUAGGCCGGGUGUGUAAGCGCAGCGAUGCGUUGAGCUAACCGGUACUAAUGAACCGUGAGGCUUAACCUUACAACGCCGAAG